CUAUGCUGGACGUCAGAGCCAGGAUGGUAGGACUGUCGUAGCAAUGUUAAAAGUUCAUCCACGGACGGUUAUACAUUACAAUCAGAGGCGGUGUUGUUCAGCUGGCAGGAGAGGGAGCAACGACAACCGGGCCCAAUAAUCGGCGAUUGAUUGAUGCUCCUAUUCCAUCACAUCUUCA